rnacentral:sRNA from 1 species
GCAUUUGGGCGAUCUCACUAUCAUUGCAUUUUGCAUGCUCUUUUUCAUGAUGAGGAUAGUGAACUGGGCGGGGAAUAUGCAUGGCGAGUUGUGGAAGACUGCGAAAGGUGUACUCACUCAGUCAAGGGCCGCGAAAUCUUUUGACAUUCUUCCUCCGUAGCUGACGCCUACAGACAGAGUCAGCUGAUGCUUUCCAGCAGCAGACGGGGCAUACAACCGCGUAAUGCACCUGAGACCAUGCCAGUAGAAUGCCAGGCCGCAGUGUGUUAACCUGCGGUAGAAGUUGUGACGAAGUCCCAUACAGCUUCUCAAAAUAGAAC